UACGUAGGGUGCAAGCGUUUGUCCGGAAUUAUUGGGCGUAAAGAGCUCGUAGGCGGUCUGUCACGUCGGAUGUGAAAAUCCAGGGCUUAACCCUGGACCUGCAUUCGAUACGGGCAGACUAGAGUUCGGUAGGGGAGACUGGAAUUCCUGGUGUAGCGGUGAAAUGCGCAGAUAUCAGGAGGAACGACCGGCUGGCGGAAGGCGGGUCUCUGG
rnacentral:rRNA from 1 species